GGGCUAGCAGUUUAUGGUUAGGGUUAGGGGCUAGUCUGGGGUUAAUUGCAACUAGGUAUAUAGAUAAAAACGAGUUUCACCCUCAUUAAUUCCACCCUCAUUAGCAUAUGCGAUCUGAUUGGCCAAAGCUUACCUGGCCGUAUCUUUUGAAGCGGAGGUCCGAUGUGCACAUAACUGGUAUCGUUGGAUUCAGGAAGCUGUCGUCUUUCAGGCAGCGUGGAUGUAUGGAAGAAAG